UCUUUCUGGAAACCUCAUGCAAAGAAGACCAGAGAAGGUGAAUUUUGUAAGACCCCCACGUGGACUCAGGGUGGUCAUCGCUGUCCUGACUGCAGUGGCCAUCACUCGCCUGCCUGCAUUGAUCAUCACUCGCCUGCCUGCAGUGAUCCAGCAUAGAUCCAUCCCUCCUAUACUAGAUCCUGGAAGGGGCAGCUCUGCUUUUCAACAGGUUGCAAUGUCCAGGAACUAUUGUACUCUUAACUACACAGGCUCCUAGGAGGGAAUAUUCAAGGACAAAGC
ensembl:lncRNA